AUUGAACGCUGGCGGCAUGCCUUACACAUGCAAGUCGAACGGCCGCACGGGAGCAAUCCUGGUGGCGAGUGGCGAACGGGUGAGUAAAGUAUCGGAACGUGCCCAGUCGUGGGGGAUAACGUAGCGAAAGUUACGCUAAUACCGCAUACGAUCUAUGGAUGAAAGCGGGGGAUCACAAGACCUCGCGCGAUUGGAGCGGCCGAUAUCAGAUUAGGUAGUUGGUGGGGUAAAGGCUCACCAAGCCGACGAUCUGUAGCUGGUCUGAGAGGACGACCAGCCACACUGGGACUGAGACACGGCCCAGACUCCUACGGGAGGCAGCAGUGGGGAAUUUUGGACAAUGGGCGAAAGCCUGAUCCAGCCAUGCCGCGUGCAGGAUGAAGGCCUUCGGGUUGUAAACUGCUUCUGUACGGAACGAAAAGGUUUGGCCUAAUAAGCUGAGCUCAUGACGGUACCGUAAGAAUAAGCACCGGCUAACUACGUGCCAGCCGCCGCCGUAA
rnacentral:rRNA from 1 species